UAACAGUCCGAAAGGACUGCUAAUACCGCAUGUCAGGUCGGAACCCGGUUCUGACGAAAAAGAGGGCGCCCGCAAGGGGCUCUCACCACGAGAUGAGUCCGCGGCCCAUCAGCUAGUUGGCGGUGUAAUAGACCACCAAGGCUAAGACGGGUAGCUGGUCUGAGAGGAUGACCAGCCACACUGGGACUGAGACACGGCCCAGACUCCUACGGGAGGCAGCAGUGGGGAAUAUUGGACAAUGGGGAAACCCUGAUCCAGCCAUGCCGCGUGAAUGAAGAAGGCCUUCGGGUUGUAAAAGUUCUUUUAGUCGUGAAGAUGAUGACAGUAGCGACAGAAAAAGCACCGGCUAACUUCGUGCCAGCAGCCGCGGUAAUACGAAGGGUGCAAGCGUUGUUCGGAUUUACUGGGCGUAAAGCGUCCGUAGGUGGUUUGUUAAGUCAGGGGUGAAAUCCUGGGGCCUAACCCCAGAACUGCCUUUGAUACUGGCAAACUGGAGCGUGAUAGAGGAAGAUGGAAUAUCUGGUGUAGGG
rnacentral:rRNA from 1 species